GCUGACAAGUGGCGCACGGGUGCGUAACGCGUAUGCAAUCUACCUUUAACUGAGGAAUAGCCCAGAGAAAUUUGGAUUAAUACCUCAUAGUAUUAUUUAUAGGCAUCUAUUUAUAAUUAAAACUCCGGUGGUUAAAGAUGAGCAUGCGUCCUAUUAGCUAGUUGGUAAGGUAAAAGCUUACCAAGGCUACGAUAGGUAGGGGGCCUGAGAGGGUGACCCCCCACACUGGUACUGAGACACGGACCAGACUCCUACGGGAGGCAGCAGUGAGGAAUAUUGCGCAAUGGAGGAAACUCUGACGCAGCCAUGCCGCGUGCAGGAUGAAUGCCCUAUGGGUUGUAAACUGCUUUUCUGCAAGAAGAAACCUUAGUACGUGUACUAAGCUGNNGGUAUUGCAG
rnacentral:rRNA from 1 species